rnacentral:rRNA from 1 species
UACGAAGGGGGCGAGCGUUGUUCGGAUUUACUGGGCGUAAAGGGCGCGCAGGCGGUCCUUUUUGUCGAGUGUGAAAGCCCCGGGCUUAACCUGGGAACUGCGCUCGAAACGGGAUGACUAGAGAUCGGGAGAGGAGAGUGGAAUUCCCAGUGUAGAGGUGAAAUUCGUAGAUAUUGGGAAGAACACCGGUGGCGAAGGCGGCAUCCUGGACCGGCAUUGACGCUGAGGCGCGAAAGCCAGGGGAGCAAACGGG